rnacentral:rRNA from 1 species
UACGGAGGGUGCGACCGUUGCUCGGAAUCAUUGGGCGUAAAGAGCUCGUAGGCGGCUUGUCACGUCGGGUGUGAAAGCCCGGGGCUUAACCCCGGGUCUGCAUUCGAUACGGGCAGGCUAGAGUGUGGUAGGGGAGAUCGGAAUUCCUGGUGUAGCGGUGAAAUGCGCAGAUAUCAGGAGGAACACCGGUGGCGAAGGCGGAUCUCUGGGCCAUUACUGACGCUGAGGAGCGAAAGCGUGGGGAGCGAACAGG